AAAUAAGUAAACAAACGCAUUUAAUAAACCCUCAAUCUUUGAAAUAAAACAGGUUUCCUUCAGGGCUGCUGGAUUCCUGUAAACCACGUGGUUUAGGAGUCUGAUCACAAAAGUGAAAGUAUAAGGUUAUUACAGAAACGCCAGCUCGGUCUCAUUCUGCAGCUCCGUCUUUCUCAGCAGCAGCACAGCAAAGGAAGCCACAACAUGUUGCCCAGGGGUGUGGUUAAGGUUCACACAAUCAAUAGAGGACAAACAUUUGGGGCAGAUGAAGAUCUACUGACACAACUGAGAACUGGCCUUCGUGUGAAGCAAACAAGCCAACAGGACAGCGAUGUCAUCAUUGUCUUCUGUCCAAUCAGCUCUCGUGUUGGGUCAGAUGUGGAAGCAGCCAUGAGGGAGGUUUCAGAGUCAGCAAGGGAUAAAAAGAUCAUUCUGGUCCUGAUGCAUCACACCCGGGAUGUUGACUACUCAGCCGGUGGGAGAAGGUGGUCUGAGACCUUCAGGAAUGUUGUCCUGGAUGUUGAUGUCCUCUUCCACGAGACUGUACCAGGACUACUGAACUGUAGAGAAAACAUGGCUGCUGUCAAACAAAUACAAGAUCUUUUAGAUCAGUAUAGUACUAGAUUAACCAUUAAGUUUAUUGUAUGGAUUUUAUUCUUACUACUGCUACUACUAACAAUAUAUUAUUAUUGUUAUCAUGACGAUGUAGUUCACCGUGACCCUGCACAGGAUAAAACGGGAAAAGAAAAUGAAUUAUUGAAUGGAUGAUGAGUUCAAUUCCAUUCAAUGUUAUUUAUGUAGCGUCUAUUACAACACAAGUUGCCUCUAGCUGCUUUCCAGAGACGCAGAACAUGAUCCUUGAGCAAUUAUUACAUAAACAAUAGCAGGUAAAACCUCCCCUGUAGGAAGGAAGAAACCUGAGUUAUGAGUUAGCUCAUAAUUAGCACUGUUUAUGAUACUUAUUGAUGAAUGUCUGAAUAUGGUUUACACAUAUCAUCUUAAAAUAUAUCUAUAGUCUAAUAUAUAUCAGAUGUCUUCAUAAGUGUUUGUUACAUUUAUGUAAACAUAUUUUUUAUAGAUAUAUUUUUGAGUGUCUUGAAGCUAAUAUUUCAACCUUUUCUUGCAUCAUUACACUUUUCAUGAGGACUUUAUUUCUGCUGUAUAAGUGGAUUUAACACAAAACAGAACAUGGACAAAUGUUAUUCGGCUAAUGGACAGUUUAAGAUCAUGCAUGAUAUAGAAGUUUGUGAAUAUGUUGUCGCUACCAAACUCAUCACUCUGCACAUCAUCUCAGCUGAUUUAAUGUUAUAUGCUAUUUACAUGGAAAUGUAUUUGAUGUAGCUUUUCCUUUAAAUACAGAUUUAUACACACACUAAAAACUGAAGCUUUAUUACUGAUUAGGUGAUAGUUUAAUUCAUAGAAAGAGAAAUGAUAGUGUUUUAUCAAUUGUUGAUGACAAAUAAAGAAAUAAAAAA